rnacentral:rRNA from 1 species
UACGUAGGGGGCGAGCGUUGUCCGGAUUUAUUGGGCGUAAAGAGCUCGUAGGCGGCUGUUCGAGUCGGGUGUGAAAUCCUGAGGCUUAACCUUGGGUCUGCAUUCGAUACUGGGCGGCCUGAGUCUGGUAGGGGGAUCUGGAAUUCCUGGUGUAGCGGUGGAAUGCGCAGAUAUCAGGAGGAACACCAAUGGCGAAGGCAGCUCGCUGGGACGGUACUGACGCUGAGACGCGAAAGCGUGGGGAGCAAACAGG